rnacentral:rRNA from 1 species
AUUGAACGCUGGCGGCAGGCCUAACACAUGCAAGUCGAGCGCGAAAGUUCUUCGGAAUGAGUAAAGCGGCGGACGGGUGAGUAAUACAUGGUAAUCUGCCUGGUAGUGGGGGACAACGUUUCGAAAGGAACGCUAAUACCGCAUACGCCCUACGGGGGAAAGGGGGGAUCUUCAGACCUCUCGCUAUCAGAUGAGCCCAU